rnacentral:lncRNA from 1 species
AAAAAAUUCUCAGGAUUUGUUCGCAAAGUUUAGAAUUCCAUCUUUUCAUUAUCAAGAACCAUUUAAACAUUGGAGAGCUGUCAGGUUUAGAUAUAAUGUUAUCAGUUUUCAUUAAACUGGUCACACAAAAAUCAAACAACUCAUUGAACUCUCAGAAAAACAACCUACUGACAAAUCAGAAAUCCCUCUGCAAUUACCAUAAAUUUGCUAUUUGACUAAUAAACAGGUUUUGUUUUAAAUGUGCACAUAUAGCUAUACUGAUAAACAUUUCAAAUAAAAAAUCAUGUUGGAAACGGAGUGGUGAAGUGGAAAACCCCCUUUCAGUUGGACUUAAAAUGGCAAGCAGCAGUAGCCAGGCCUGUUUCUAUUCCGGGAGGUAGUACUGAUGAGCCUCGACAGAUGCAGCCAUUGGAAUGUGGCAGGGACAGGGAGCAGGCACAGCUGAUUUCGCACCCUUGGCAAGAAGACAUUCUGAGAUCCCAGCUCUGUCUGGCAGGAGAGUGACAGUGACACUUUAGCAUACAUGGCUUUCAGCUUGCCCUGUGUAGAGUCUCAAGUCAAGGGUGGCAGGCUGCAGGAAGAAGCACAUUCUUAAAUAUGAAGUGACAACUCUUUUCUAGAAUCAGUUCUAGAAGCUUUCAUCAGGGAUGGGUUUGUGGCCAAAAGAACUUGAUGUAAAAGCAAUAAUUUCACAUGGAUUUACCCACUGAACAGGAGAGGGUAUCAUUGUGUUACCAUUUCUUGGCAACAUUAUUCUCAGUCUUGUGGUUCUGAUUCUAUUUUGGAUUUUGGACCUUUCAUGAUCCUCAUGAAAGUAGCUCUGAGAGACUGCAGAACACAUAAGGACACAGUAUGUUUCAGAAUAUCCCACAGGGCUCAAGGAUCGACCUGAAUCCCAACCCAGAGUAGAGUUGCCAAUAAAAUACAGGUCACCCAGCUAUAUUUGAAUUUAAGAUAAAUCACAAAUUGACUUCUAGUUUAAGUAUGUUGGACAUAUAUUGGACAAAUAUGAUUUGUGGUUCAUCUGAAAUUUAAAUUUAGCUGGAUGUCUUAUAUUUUUUAUUUGCCAAAUCUGAUGAAUUAACCCUAGACACAGAGAUCCCAAGUAAAGAACCCUGUCUUAAUUGAUUCACACCUAUCUAAUCAUGCGUUGAUUCUAGGGUUAUCAAAGUCCUAUUGAGGGGAGGUGAUAUAGGACCAAAUCUUGGCAAUUUGGGCAGCAAAAGCCAGUUAUAUAUUCUUAAC